GGGAUAACCCGGAGAAAUCCGGCCUAAUACCGCAUGUGGCCGAGGGGAGGCAUCUUCUUUCGGCCAAAGGAGGCGACUCCGGAGACGGAUGGGCAUGCGUGACAUUAGCUUGUUGGCGGGGUAACGGCCCACCAAGGCGACGAUGUCUAGGGGUUCUGAGAGGAAGGUCCCCCACACUGGUACUGAGACACGGACCAGACUCCUACGGGAGGCAGCAGUGAGGAAUAUUGGUCAAUGGGCGAGAGCCUGAACCAGCCAAGUCGCGUGAAGGAUGACGGCCCUACGGGUUGUAAACUUCUUUUGUCAGGGAGCAAUUGAGUCCACGUGUGGGCUUAGCGAGAGUACCUGAAGAAAAAGCAUCGGCUAACUCCGUGCCAGCAGCCGCGGUAAUACGGAGGAUGCGAGCGUUAUCCGGAUUUAUUGGGUUUAAAGGGUGCGUAGGCGGAAUAUCAAGUCAGCGGUAAAAAUUCGGGGCUCAACCCCGUCGUGCCGUUGAAACUGAUGUUCUUGAGUGGGCGAGAAGUAUGCGGAAUGCGUGGUGUAGCGGUGAAAUGCAUAGAUAUCACGCAGAACUCCGAUUGCGAAGGCAGCAUACCGGCGCCCAACUGACGCUGAAGCACGAAAGCGUGGGUAUCGAACAGGAUUAGAUACCCUGGUAGUCCACGCAGUAAACGAUGAAUAAUAAUUGUCCGGA
rnacentral:rRNA from 1 species